ACUGGGUUCAAUCCUCAGCAUCACAUAGAAAAUAAAUAACAUAAAGGUAUUGUGUCCAGCUACAACUAAAAAAAAAAUUUAAAAAAAGGAAACAAAGUAAGAAAAAAAGCAGGGGGAGGGGAAGGAGGGACAGAAAAUGGAGGAUGAGAUUGGUACUUGGCACUAGAUUGUAUGUAUCGGUUGCUAAAGGCAAAGGUGGAUUAAGAGCUGGGGAAAAAAAGGAACCCCAAGUCAAGCAGCCAGUUUGAGUGAGAGACAGGUAAAAGAAUCUGAGUAAGUGCUAGCAGAAAAUGCUAAAAUAAGCAAAAGUAUGCUAAUGCCAGAAAUAGGGGGGUGUAAGUAUUUACCAUCAACUGGGAAAAAUGGAUUAGUAUAUAUGCACCACCUGUGGUCAUUACCAUGUAUAAUAAUGUGGGGGAAAGAGCACACUUUUCUCUGGACCAUUUCUUUGGAAUAUAUAAUAAUUAAUGGGACCAGCACAGUAAAUUAUCCUAAACUACAAUUUUUUUGUGUGCUAAAAGUUCUCUUUUGUAACAAAGUAGCAAAAUCUGACAGGGAGGGCAAGUUUUAAUUAAGUUCACACAGGCAAAUAAGUAAAUAAAUAAAUAAAUCUCAUAGGCUGAAUGAUAAGCUCAGUCUUUUUGAUGUGCUUGCCAGGUGAAGUUCAGGAUGAUGCCAUAGCUAUCCAGACUUCUGAAGGACAUUUAAUAGAUCUCUCAUGUUAGCCAGUUAUAAAAUAUUGUCAGUUUUCUAAAUCUUCUAUAUAUCACACACUAUGAUAGGCUCUUUGUGUUUAUUACUCUAAUUUUUACAAAAGCCCCACAAAGAUAUGAUAUAACCAAAUUACAGAUAAAGAAAACGGGUCUCAGAGAGGCUGUGUCAUUGGUCAGUUUUGAGGUAGUAAGAGGUCAAGGUGGGAAUUUACCCAGGUCUGCCUUUUUGAAAACUGUGCUUUUCCGCUGUACUAUAUGGACUCUAAAACUAUAUGUGUAAGUUUGAGCCAGUUGAUAAUAUGGUUGGAAGGAUGCUAUGGCUUGAUGUAUGCUCUGAAAAAACAUGAAUUGGCAUCUGAAUCCCCAGUGCAAUAGUGGUAAGAGAUGAAGCUUUUAAGAGGUGAUUAGCUGAUGAGGGCUCUGCUCAUGUGAAUUGAUUUCUGCCUGUUACAGUUGGGCCUGGGGCUGUGAGUUCAAUCUACAGCAUGCUCUUCUGUCUUCUUCUUUCCAGCUGUGAGAUGAACUAGCACAAAGGUCCUCAGCAGAUGCUGGCACCUUGAUAUCGGAGUUCCAGCCUCCAGAACUAUGAGAAAUAAAUCUUAUUUUUGCAAACUACCCAGUCUAUGAUAUUCUGUUAAGCAGCAUAAAACAGACUAAGAGGAUUUCUAAAUAGAUAAACAAUUAGACUAAAAUAAUUUAAAUACAUUUCAGGUAUAAAACCAAGGGCAAGAUUCUUGGGACUAUUUAAUGUUAUUAUUGAUGACUUGGGUAAAAACAUAUCAUGACAUCAAGAAGGAUAGCAAAUGCUUUAUAUAAAAGAAUUCACAUUCAGAAGUAUGCACAGAUUAUAACAAUGAACCAGAAGUGACUGUGUAAAAUUAAAUAGGAAUUAAGUGGUAAAUCCUCUAUUUUUAAUAGUUAUAACGUUUUCUCAAUAUGUAUUGAGAAUAUUUAGUAUUCACCAACAAUUAAUAGCACCUCCAUAGGAGUCAGUAGACUGAUAUGAGGCUUGAAAGAAAGAAGGAAAAAAAAUAAAUCUUAAGGCUGCAUUAAUACUCAUUCAUUCGCUUUUAGUUAUUGUGUAUUAAUCCAAGAAAAUAAACCAUUAUGCUCUACAUUCUUGAUAUCAUAUCUCUUACAUGAGCUACCAUGUUUCAGAUAUACUACAGUUUAAAAUCAACUUUUAUAGAUAACUGGAAAGGGAUUAAGGAUGGAUCUUGGUGAUGAGGCAUCAAAAAAGAUCUAAAUAAUAUGUUUUUGGGAAAGAGCUAUAUGAACUUGGAAUGUUUAG
rnacentral:lncRNA from 1 species